AAGCUCGUAGGUGAAUUUCGGGGUCUGUCCAUUGGUCGGGCUUUACGGUCCGUACUGGUGGGAUAGGCUCCUACCUUCUGAAUAACCAGCAUGCCAUUUCGGAGUCUGGUGCGUUGGGGAAGCAGAGCUAUUACCUUGAAAAAUUAGAGUGCUAAAGCAGGCUAGUGCUGUGAAAUAGAUUAGCAUGGAAUAAUAAAAUAGGACGGCAUGGUUCUAUUUUGUUGGUUUCUAGGAUCACCGUCAUGAUUAAUAGGGAUAGUUGGG
rnacentral:rRNA from 1 species